CAGUCGCCACGGUAAUACGUAGGUGGCAAGCGUUGUCCGGAAUUAUUGGGCGUAAAGCGCGCGCAGGCGGAUAGGUCAGUCUGUCUUAAAAGUUCGGGGCUUGACCCCGUGAUGGGAUGGAAACUGCCAAUCUAGGGUAUCGGAGAGGAAAGUGGAAUUCCUAGUGUAGCGGUGAAAUGCGUAGAUAUUAGGAAGAACACCAGUGGCGAAGGCGACUUUCUGGACGAAAACUGACGCUGAGGCGCGAAAGCCAGGGGAGCGAACGGGAUUAGAUACCCCAGUAGUCCCUGUCUCUUAUACA
rnacentral:rRNA from 1 species